UUAUUUAUUGAUUUAAUUACAGAUCCAGAUGACUUUUUCUUGAAAAUUCGACGUGGAAUCGAUUAUCCAGUUGAUCCAGAUGACAUUUUCUUGAAAAUUCGUAAGUAUAAGAGGAAUUCUAAUAUUGCAUG